rnacentral:piRNA from 1 species
UUUCACGUGUGUCAUUGGGUCUAAUUGUC